rnacentral:rRNA from 1 species
AUUGAACGCUGGCGGCAGGCCUAACACAUGCAAGUCGAGCGGAUGAAGGGAGCUUGCUCCUGGAUUCAGCGGCGGACGGGUGAGUAAUGCCUAGGAAUCUGCCUGGUAGUGGGGGAUAACGUCCGGAAACGGGCGCUAAUACCGCAUACGUCCUGAGGGAGAAAGUGGGGGAUCUUCGGACCUCACGCUAUCAGAUGAGCCUAGGUCGGAUUAGCUAGUUGGUGGGGUAAAGGCCUACCAAGGCGACGAUCCGUAACUGGUCUGAGAGGAUGAUCAGUCACACUGGGACUGAGACACGGUCCAGGGUCCUACGGGAGGCAGCGGUGGGGAAGGUUGGACAAUGGGGGAAAGCCUGAUCCAGCCAUGCCGCGUGGGUGAAGAAGGGCUGCGGAUUGUAAAGCACUUUAAGUUGGGAGGAAGGGCAGUAAGUUAAUCCCUUGCUGUUUUGACGUUACCAACAGAAUAGGCACCGGCUAACUUCGU